UUGUUAGUAAGUCGUACAGGUUUCCGUAGGUGACAUGCGAAGGGAUCAUUA
rnacentral:rRNA from 1 species